GGACGAACGCUGGCGGCGUGCUUAACACAUGCAAGUCGAACGGAAAGGCCCUGCUUUUGUGGGGUGCUCGAGUGGCGAACGGGUGAGUAACACGUGAGUAACCUGCCCUUGACUUUGGGAUAACUUCAGGAAACUGGGGCUAAUACCGGAUAGGAGCUCCUGCUGCAUGGUGGGGGUUGGAAAGUUUCGGCGGUUGGGGAUGGACUCGCGGCUUAUCAGCUUGUUGGUGGGGUAGUGGCUUACCAAGGCUUUGACGGGUAGCCGGCCUGAGAGGGUGACCGGCCACAUUGGGACUGAGAUACGGCCCAGACUCCUACGGGAGGCAGCAGUGGGGAAUAUUGCACAAUGGGCGGAAGCCUGAUGCAGCAACGCCGCGUGCGGAUGACGGCCUUCGGGUUGUAAACCGCUUUCGCCUGUGACGAAGCGUGAGUGACGGUAAUGGGUAAAGAAGCACCGGCUAACUACGUG
rnacentral:rRNA from 1 species